GGGUGCUCAAUGUUUAACAUUAAUUUCAUGGGCAGACCUCCUCCUGGCUUUCUUAAAGUCAUUCUUUGAAGGAGGGAUCUGCCAUGGUCAUCUACUUUAGAUAAGGCACUUUUGGGCUUGUAACCCCAGGCAGGCCCAAUAUUCCAUCCUGCAGCCCCCCAAUGGUCACAGUUGUGUCCCCAUUGCUUGUCAACUACACAAACAUAGGGGUCCUUUGCGUGUGGUAUAUCUUUGUAAAUGGUUUGAAUCUGUGACUUGGGAAAUGGACAAUCUACUAUGUCACAGUAAUCAAAGGUGAAUGUAGCUACGCGGGUGCAUGAUGAGUUAUACCAGAAUGUGUACCCACUAGCAUCUUUGGUAAUGGCCACUUGUUGGGCCUCAAGGAAACUAAUCAAAGGGAUGAUGUACCAGAGGUACAUCGUUGUGAGGAGUCUGCUUCCUCUGGGACAGGAACCUUUUUGCAAUGGGAGGCGUGUAUCCAGUUGCUUUUCCCAGCCAACUUGACGGAGGUGGAGGUGAUCAGUAGAACUUGGAAUGGUCCGUCAAAUCUUGGUUCCAGGGUGUGUUUCCGCACAAAUUUCUUGACUUGGACCCAAUCACCAGGGAGCAGACUGUGGUUGCCCGUAUCAGAAUCAGGAUCUGGAAUUGAAGAGAAAACUUGGGCAUGGAUU